CCUUCUCUUUAUCCUUUGCUAUCUUAUGUUCUUAAGUUUUCUUCUUACUCCUUUCUGCUUCCAACCAUUAAGGUUGCUUGCUCUACUACAUCCA